rnacentral:rRNA from 1 species
UACGAAGGGGGCUAGCGUUGCUCGGAAUUACUGGGCGUAAAGGGUGCGUAGGCGGAUAGUUUAGUCAGAGGUGAAAGCCCAGGGCUCAACCUUGGAACAGCCUUUGAUACUGGCUAUCUUGAGUACGGGAGAGGUGAGUGGAACUCCGAGUGUAGAGGUGAAAUUCGUAGAUAUUCGGAAGAACACCAGUGGCGAAGGCGACUCACUGGCCCGUUACUGACGCUGAGGCUCGAAAGCGUGGGGAGCAAACAGG